AGAUCGGGUUGCGGUUUAAGUU
rnacentral:siRNA from 1 species